UGCUUUCUGUGAGUUGAGAGUGAUGUGAUGCAUGUUCACAGACAGCUUGUGGUGUCAGUACACCAAACAUAUGGUGACAGCAAAUAUGUGUAAUGAAUCCAAAACACUAUUCAUAGCAAGCUAUUAAUAUGAACAGGAUGUAUGGCAUGACUGAGAAAUAUUGCAAUACAAAUUUAACUGACCUUAUAAAACACACUUUACAGGCUGCUUUAGUCUGAGAACCAUUUAUUUUUCUGCCAAACUCUUGCUACUUUACUAUGUCUUUUAAUUAAGAAUUAGCAUUUAACUGAAAAUUAAAGAUAUUCUGGAUAUUCUAUCAGUAGCUGAAGACUACACUGGGACAAUCUUCUUUCACUGAUUAAAAAUGUAAAACUUGGCCUUCAGACUUCAUAAGUAGCUUUACAGAAUGUUUGUUUCUGUUAAAAAGCUCUGUGUGAUGGGAUUUUCUUUCAUAGGACCCCUCAUGACCUCUUAGUGUGGUACUCAUAAACAAGCCUUGGAAGACACUGUGGUGGCUUCUAAUCCCAGUUAAUUAAACUGACUGAGAUGCCAAAAGAACCACUGAGAAAGACAGACAGAAAGAGCGAGAGAGAGAGGGAGAUGUGGCUCAGGGUAUGAGAUGAAUGUUUACUAGAAGAAGAUUAAAGUUUGCUCCUAACUGCUGGCUUGUGGGAAAAGAGGUCACACUUAUUUCCAACAAUAGGCCAUCAAUCAGUUUCUCUUCUCUUGCCCAGGAAAUUGCUACCAAAUAGAUAAGGCACUCGGAAAAUUCCACUAAAUUAUUAAACGUGCCAAAUUAGACAGAAAGAAAGACUUGAUUACUAGUGCUAUUUUACUCUGGAUUUGAGUAUUAAAUUAGAACUAAGCCAAAAAUGUGACUCUCUUUCAUUAAAAAUAAGAACAUUUUGAAAAGUAGGUCAGAAAAUCCGUAAAUAUGAUCUGCAUUGCAUGCAAAAGUAUUAUCAUUAGCUAAGCUGAACUGUGAUGAAUUCUGAAUAAUUCCCUGCUGGAAAUAACUGCAUAUAUUGUAACAGUUGCUGGUCUUAGUUGGUCUUCCAGCCUGGUUAGUCCUAGGAAAUGAAAACCGUGUCCUAACUACAUGCCAUGCAUAAGAUUCCAGCGACAAGCAAGCAAUAAAAUCAAUCAAAAACCACAUCCACUCAGAAGAGAGUGUGGGCGGGCUCUCUUGGCAAGAGCACAGCAGACAAGAUGAAAUGGGGGGAAAUGAAAUCCUGCUUGCAGCAGGAGAGGGCUGUGCUGCACACCAAUUUUCUCAGCAACAAAAUUUAGCCUCAGUUGGAAGGCAAUUACAUCUGAAGUGUUCUCCACAAAAAUAGCCAAGAGUCUGGGCUGGGAUCCGCUAGCAGUCACCUCUCAGAUGAGCCCUACCAAUGGCUUCCUGUACCUGAUGAGAAGCUCGAUGGAUAAUGAAUAGCUACAUGUCAGUGAAAACUGUUCUGUUGCAUUCCCUCCAAUUAUCUUUUCCUUUUAAAAAUGGGACACGUGUGUCCGUCUGUAUGUUGCAUGUACCAUGCAGUUCGUGUGCAGGCUGCUAAUGAGGAUGAUGAAUGAGAGAGGACAGGAUGAAAGAAGUCUUGACAGCUCCCUGAGGGACGACCAAACCAAAGCUGAGCAGGUCGAGAUGCUCAGGACUGUGGCUACGAGGCUGGGCUGGGCAGUGUUAAAUACUUUGUCUUGCAAAACCUAUCCCCAACUGAACCCCAAAGUGAGUCUGUCCUUAUUUACUCACCCUGAUGAUGUAUAUUUUCUAGUAUAUUUUCUAGUGGAAUCUUUUCCAUACACUGACAGUUUAUUGUGACCUCAAGCUCCAAAAAGUACCAAAAACAUAUCUGCACCAAAAAUUUUUGAGGGCUGUCUACACUGAACACAUCAAAGUAAACAAUGUAAAUGAAUGGCAGACUGAUAGUAGUCAAUGAACAAUAAACUGGGUUAAGAGAAUGUAUUUUAACAUACUUCAACUUUAACUAACAGCAUCUAUACAGAGAUGUGAUGUUUGUGAGUGAUGAGCAGUUUGAUGAGAGGCUUUUGUAAUCAACAGCAUUUCUGCUGAUAUUUCAAUAGACGUGACAUUCAAAGUGAAAAGCUCCUGACAAGGGCAUCCUGCUGGGGCAUGGCUGAGGAAAAUGAUAAUCUCUUAUGCAGAAUGCAAACGUAACUGUACCAUUUUUGUUUUUGUUGCCUCAAGGCUUGACAAAAACCAUCAACAACUGCAGAUUCCACAGGAUUUGUAUUGAAAGGCAAACACUACGUACUUCUCAACACUAUGAGCGGCGCAACAAGUGUGUCCGCCCAAGACCUUUUAAAUGCAUGACUUUAUGAUGGACUCUUAAGGCAGGAUUGUUAACAGCAGUUAAAAAUAAAGCAUGGCUUCUUGGCUUGUUCAUUCUCUG